UACAGAGGUCUCAAGCGUUGUUCGGAAUUACUGGGCGUAAAGGGUGCGCAGGCCGCGCGGGCAGUCAAAUGUGUAAUUCAGGGGCUCAACCCCUGCACUGCGCUUGAUACUUCCGCGCUCGAGCUUUGGAGAGGAGUCUGGAAUUCUCGGUGUAGCAGUGAAAUGCGUGGAUAUCGAGAAGAACACGUAGGGCGUAGGCAAUCCCCUGGGCCUGCACUGACGCUCAUGCACGAAAGCGUGGGGAGCAAACAGG
rnacentral:rRNA from 1 species